UGCGGAAGGAUCAUAG
rnacentral:rRNA from 2 species